rnacentral:rRNA from 1 species
AUUGAACGCUGGCGGCAUGCCUUACACAUGCAAGUCGAACGGCAGCACGGGAGCAAUCCUGGUGGCGAGAGGCGAACGGGUGAGUAAUAUAUCGGAACGUGCCCAGUCGUGGGGGAUAACGUAGCGAAAGCUACGCUAAUACCGCAUACGAUCUAUGGAUGAAAGCGGGGGAUCGCAAGACCUCGCGCGAUUGGAGCGGCCGAUAUCAGAUUAGGUAGUUGGUGGGUAAAAGCUACCAAGCCUUCGAUCUGUAGCUGGUCUGAGAGGACGACCAGCCACACUGGAACUGAGACACGGUCCAGACUCCUACGGGAGGCAGCAGUGGGGAAUUUUGGACAAUGGGCGCAAGCCUGAUCCAGCAAUGCCGCGUGCAGGAUG